GACGAACGCUGGCGGCGUGCUUAACACAUGCAAGUCGAACGGAAAGGCCCUGCUUUUGUGGGAUGCGCGAGUGGCGAACGGGUGAGUAACACAUGAGUAACCUGCCCUUUACUUUGGGAUAACUUCAGUAAACUGGGGCGAAUAUCGGAUAUGAGCUCCUGCUGCAUGGUGGGUGUGGGAAAGUGUCGGCGGUUGGGGGUGGACUCGCGGCUUAUCAGCUUGUUGGUGGGGUAGUGGCUUACCACGGCUUUGACGGGUAGCCGGCCUGAGAGGGUGACCGGGCACAUUGGGCCUGAGAUAGGGCCAAGACUGAUACGGGAGGCAGCAGUGGGGAAUAUUGCACAAUGGGCGGAAGCCUGAUGCAGCAACGCCGCGUGCGGGAUGACGGCCUUCGGGUUGUAACGCGCUUUCGACUGUGACGAAGAGUGAGUGACGGUAACGGGUCAAGAAGCACCGGCUAACUACGUG
rnacentral:rRNA from 1 species